rnacentral:rRNA from 1 species
UACGUAGGGGGCAAGCGUUAUCCGGAUUUACUGGGUGUAAAGAGAGCGCAGGCGGCACGGCAAGCCUGAUGUGAAAGCCCGCGGCCCAACCGCGGGACUGCAUUGGGAACUACCGGGCUGGAGUGCCGGAGAGGUAGGCGGAAUUCCUAGUGUAGCGGUGAAAUGCGUAGAUAUUAGGAGGAACAUCAGUGGCGAAGGCGACUUUCUGGACUGUAACUGACGCUGAGGCACGAAAGUGUGGGGAGCAAACAGG